GGAGUUGUGGCUCAGCAGUACAGUGCCCAUCUAGCACGUGCGAGGCUCUGGGUUCGAUUCUCAGCACCA
rnacentral:tRNA from 1 species